rnacentral:tRNA from 1 species
GGCGAGGUAGCUCAGUAGGUAGAGCAGAGGACUGAAAAUCCUUGUGUCGGCGGUUCGAACCCGCCCCUCGCCA